rnacentral:hammerhead_ribozyme from 1 species
AUCCAGAUGACGGGUCCUAAAUAGGACGAAAUGCGCGUUGUCCUGGAU